rnacentral:rRNA from 1 species
AUUGAACGCUGGCGGUAUGCUUAACACAUGCAAGUCGAACGGUAGCAGGCCUUCAGGCGCUGACGAGUGGCGGACGGGUGAGUAACGCGUAGGAAUCUGCCUCAUAGUGGGGGACAACGUGUGGAAACGCACGCUAAUACCGCAUACGCCCUACGGGGGAAAGCGGGGGACCUUCGGGCCUCGCGCUAUGAGAUGAGCCUGCGUUAGAUUAGCUAGUUGGUAGGGUAAAGGCCUACCAAGGCGACGAUCUAUAGCUGGUCUGAGAGGACGAUCAGCCCCACUGGGACUGAGACACGGCCCAGACUCCUACGGGAGGCAGCAGUGGGGAAUAUUGGACAAUGGGCGCAAGCCUGAUCCAGCAAUACCGCGUGUGUGAAGAAGGCCCUAGGGUUGUAAAGCACUUUCAAUAGGGAGGAAAACCCGUCGGUCAAUACCCGGCAGCUUGACAUUACCUAUACAAGAAGCACCGGCUAACUCCGUGCCAGCCGCCGCCGUAAGAC